rnacentral:lncRNA from 1 species
UUCCUUCAGAUUUUCAUUUCGUUUCUUCAAAAAUAUUCAAACAGUGGACAAUUCGAAAGAAAGGAAGGUUAGGUGUAUCAGCUGAUGAUCGGAAACAAGGAACUCUAAUUAGUGGUGAUCGGAGUUUCUCACUUACCAUCUUUUAAAGAAUACUCUGCAUCGACCAACUCGAAUCAGGCAAUUUGUAUUUUGAUUCCACCUCUGGCUCGGACGUAAUUUCAUGUUGGAAUAUAUGGACGUAUGUGCGUGCGGAAGUAGCGAAAAGGAACUUCAGCAGAUGAAAAAGAGAAAAGAAGAGACGCGCAUACAGGGUUUUAGUUUGAAAUAAAGAGAUACGAAAGAUAAAGAAGAUAGAUAAGGAUAGACAGAAAGAAGAGCAAACUAACGUAACAAUGGAGCGAUAGACAGAAUGCAAUGAUUGUAAUCCUUUGUACACACUUUGUUGUUGGAAUUUAAGAUCUUCAUAAAAGGAUAAAAGCGAAUGGCUAAGAAAAUAAGAACGCUUUCUUCUUUGAGUCAAAGAUUCCACUUCACCGUAGAAAAGUUGUGUUGGGAAUGGAGUGCUUCGAGGCUUAUCUGCAUAACAUGUCCUGCCCUGAGCAUUUCGCUGCUGAUGAUCUGUGAUUAAAUGCAGAUUCCAAGGUAAAGCCCAACACCGCGAUAACAGCACUCAAUUCUGAUCUCAAAUCACAUAAUGCUAUGAGUAAUAACAUGCAAAUAUAGGGUUUAAAAACCUUUUGAAUUGAAGAAGGUCGGAGGCUGCUGGUAGGACUCGAACCCACAUCUCUUGUAGACAUGACUGGCAUUCAACCACUGGACUAAAGAAUUUCUUCUUAUUUCUCUAACUACUUUGAGAAACUUUAUUCUCAUCUCUGUUGUAUCCACCCCACUCCAGUUCCCGCUAUACAUCCAGUCCUUCCUUCGCUAAUUAUGAUCCCUCUGGAAGUUUUCUCUUCGCUCAUAUCUUCCCUGCGGAUGAUGACUUACAUAGCUUCAAAAAGAACAUUAAUGGCGUCAGUCUCAUUGCAGUGGGAGAGCCUACAACGACAAGAAGCACUGACCGUUUUUAACUGAGGAAGUUAAAAAAUAUCUGUGUAUAUCCUAUGCCUUCUUCGAUAACAGGAGUUAACCGAAGCUGACUUCUUUUCAAUACGUUGUACGUUUUUUUUCUCUCCGAACAUCUUUAAAAUACGACGAAUUGGUGACGAUGAUGUCAGAAAAUGAUUUCAAUCUGAAUAACCAAACACACACCAAGACAUAAGUAGGACAACUUGAAACCGAAAUAAAUGAAAAAGCAAAGAGAAACCUCUCUUCCUAUCCACAUGUUGUAUUGAAGUCAUUUUACAUGCUUUUUCUUGACCUAUAGUAAAGAUUCUGUAUACCUUCCGAUAAAAAAAUAAUAGGGAAACAAGUUAAAUCCACCGAAAGAUUAAUGGUAGCUCAUAGGCUGAAAUUAAUGGAACCUAAACAACAUGACAAUGAGUCAAUAAAUCAAUUUGUUUUUAUUUUAAAAAAACAAUCACAAACAGUUUUUCAGUAAAUUUAAUCAAUCGUAAAAAAAAUUUCCCCGAGCAGGAGGUAAUUAAACUGAUUUCAUAUCAGAAUUGUGCUCUGUGGACAUAAAACCAGCCAGAGUUAGGUUAUGGAGAAUUAUCAUCAUUAGCAGUGACGAUACACUGUAAAACCUAAUUUGCUAAAUUGAAAACAAGCAUCGAUGUAGAAAAUUUAUGUUUGCAAGAAUUAUUUGAGCAGUAAUAAAACCACGGUUGAAAAAUAUCAAUCACAGCCACAAUGGCUGCAAAGGUGUGGUAAUCAACUGUAAUAAUUUUGGACACGAACGAAGGAGACGUCUCUCAUUCUCAUUAAAGUGUCAUAAGUGUGGAAAGCUGAAUCACUUCACCAAAUGUUGCCGGUCACUGCUUACCUAUAACAUCAUUGAAGCUUCUUGUGAACAUAGCAAUGCCUCUAUACUCAACGUCAACGAUAUAGUUCUUAACAAUAUUAAAGAUAUCUCUUGAAAACUGAAAAACAGCUCCAAAUUGAAUGGAAACAGAUAAUAGUUCAUCUUGUCCAGCUAUUCCUUAUUCAUUUAUUGACAUAAAUUGAUAAGUCAGAAUAUCGAACUCUGGCAGCCCAGCACUGAAAUCUAGUGCAAGACCUAGAAUUUGCAUGGGGACAAAUUCCAAUACCAGAAGCGAAGUGUAGUCGGCGUUAUUCAACCAACAAUGGUUGCCGCUUUUUCACAUCUUUAUCAUUUAUUUAUAAUCAUACACACACAUACACACACACGUAUGUAUAUAUAUAUAUAUAUAUAUAUAUAUAUACAUAUGCACACACCGUGUGUAAUUUAUUUGUGCCUCUCUUUUUUUUACCAGUGUUUAAUAAGUCUCAAUAUAUUGUAUAACGUUUAUGUAACACGUUUCUACGAAGGAAUGGUCCCCGGUGUUAAAUGAAGCGAACAAAUCGUUAUUACAUUGUUUGCUUUUAAUAUGUUUUAUUAGUAGUAAAGGCUUGAUUACUUGAAGCAAAAUGAAAGCAGCUCUAUUUCCCGCCAGAUCUAAACACUUCAGAAAGAAAUUGCUUUCCUCCAGGAUAAUGGUAAUUGCCUGUGAUGCAGAUUUCUUCAUUGUUUUGAUCUUGGAUUUCGUUUUGAAUUGUUCACGUUAGAAUGUCAUCUAUAAAAAGAAAAAAAAAUACCAAGAAAGUGAUUUAUGUUGUUUCAAUCAAACUUGAACACAAGACUUGUGAAAUGAAGCAAACGUUGAAAGAAAAAAAGGUGUUUAGUUUUUGAUAAACAUGCUUGAUCUUUUUUUCUUUUUGUGGGGGAAAAAAUGGCUUUCGGUAAAUAAUGAUUUUGGUAAAAACAAUAAUAAUAAAUGAAGUUUAAGAGCGAAAUUCGUGUAAGACAAGGCAAAAUUUUAUUCUUUGAAUUGAAAUAUCUAUCAUAACAUCGGUUCGUAGUGAUUACAUGAAACUCUUUUUGGUGUCUCACACUGUAUCUGUAAUUUCUUCAAUGGCUGAGACAGCUGGUUGUGAUGUUAUGUGGGGAGAAUUAAAGGUUAAUACUAUUGACAAAUAAAUAAGGCUAGGAUUGAGAAACUGAGGCUCAAGUUUCAUCGAAUGUAGGAUUCGAGAACACCGUCCAUUAAAAAGUUUAUUAUUUUCUUUUUGCUUUAAAAUCAUUUACAAUUGCGUCCUAAAAAGAAGAAGCACCGUGUAAACUGUGCUAGCGAUUGGGUAGUGGACUUAUCCAUUUCUCGAUUUAAAAUCACAUCUAUUCCUUGGAUGGUUUUAACAGAGUCCAUCCUAUUGAAAGCAUUCAUGUCAGAUCUCUUCCUUACCACCAGGAGAUUUAGUAGUCCUUUAUAUGAUCUUAGGCGUUGUCCUUUCUCUUCUGACUAAGAUAUAGAAAAGAAUGAAGCCCUGGUCUAUGCAAAUUACUUUACUAGAAAGAAAGGAUUUGAACUUAUUUUGCAAGUCAGUGAAUUCAUCAUUACCAUAAUUAGUUCGAUAAAACUUAUUUCUUUAUUGCUCACAAGGGGCUAAACAUAGAGGAGACAAUCAAGGACAAACAAAAGGAUUGAACCAUAUACACCCUUAUUCUUUGCUUCUUUUACCUCAUCUUCAUGUUUUUUGUAGCAUUUUAAGAGGUGUAGGUUCGAUUCUCACGCGUACUAAUACCCACUUGUUUCCGUCGAGGGUUAUAUGCCCCAAUAUUAGACUAUUUUCUUUAGUCAUACACGGUGAACGCUAAUAAGCUUCAAGAUGAUAAUCAUUAUUAUUUACAGAAUGUUUCACUCGUUACCGUUUCUUAAUUUAACGCAGUAUAUACAUACAUACAUAUAUAUAUAUAUAUGUAGUUCUCUGGUUAAUCUACCUCCUUGUUCGAAUCGCACCUGUGUUGACGAUAUAUAUGAAAGUAAUUCCGGAAAACUUCAGUUUAUUCAAUUGACUAUACACCCUCUGCUGCUAUAAAAUUUCAUGUGGUACCUUAUUAAAUAAAAUCAAUUUCUUUAGUGAACAAGAGACCGACUGACUAAAGAGAAUUACACACAAAAGAAAUUACUGUAUCUCUUUUAGACUAAGAGAGAAAAAAAGAGAAGAUAAAAAAAUCACACAUAAUGUCGCUCAUUGAAGUUCUGUCGUCUGCACAAUUGAAACGAUAAACUAAACUGAGGUUGAAUUGAAAGACGUUAUACAAAAAGAAGGAAUCAGUUAAAGUUAAUCGAUAAUUUGAUAAGCCUUAGUGAAUUUAAGAAACACAAGAAAGAGACAAAGGGAUGAAAGUCGAACAGAAGAGAUAUUUUCCCGAAAAAUAAAACUUCUUAAACAAUC